GGAGGAGGCUGCAUUAAGUCCAUGGUGGUAAAGGGCAGAGUAAACGCUAUGGAAUCAGUUCCAAUCCUUUUGAGAUGGGUUAGAAGGUAAGAACCUACCAUCACCCCUCAUGACUGAGAACAUGAAGGGGUUCAUCAAAGAACUGUUUAAAUUAGAUGCUGCAAGAUGUGGGGAGCACUAUUGUAUUGCAACGGAGGCGAGGGAAACCUUCCAGAAAUAUUGAAUGCAGUUUAAGUGGUGUGCUGAGGGACAUGAAUCUGACUACAUGAGUGUCAUCUUACUCCAGAGACUAUACUUGCUGAAGAUCUGGCCACAGAGAAAAUCAAAACCAAGAACAGAGAGAUAAAGGAAUUCCUUUACAGCAUAAAGAGAACAGGUGCCUGAGGACAUUUCUGAUAUGUAUCUGAUCAUCGUGAGCAGUAUGUGCUGCUUAAACAAAAGUUUCCUUCUCUUGCAGUGAGGCUGUCAUUAAAGCUGAUGGCGGACAGUGGCAGGGUCAGCUCCUAUCGCCCUUGUUUCCUCCACACAGGGUGCCAAGAUGUAUUGGUACGAGAGACCACCUAGAAUACAAGCCUGGCUUUUCAGAG
ensembl:lncRNA